rnacentral:lncRNA from 1 species
GGAACCGACCGCCGCCGGCCGGGUUGCAGGCGGGGCACCUCGGGCAGGACCUCCCUGGUCGGAAGUGGCCGUGAGCCCAAGCCGCGGUCCCGGGCCGGCACCCAGGAUGGGCGAGGUGGAGGCCCCGGGCCGCUUGUGGCUCGAGAGCCCCCCUGGGGGAGCGCCCCCCAUCUUCCUGCCCUCGGACGGGCAAGCCCUGGUCCUGGGCAGGGGACCCCUGACCCAGGUUACGGACCGGAAGUGCUCCAGAACUCAAGCCUGAAGCAGGCCACACUCCCCAGAAAUGAGGGACCCAAUCACACAAGGAUGCAAAUCCUGACUCCACCCCUCCAAUCCUCAGUGGAGCUGGUCGCAGAUCCUGAGACCCGGACAGUGGCAGUGAAACAGGUAUCAGUGCCUCUGCAAGGGCCAGCAAGGCCUGGGGAUGGGAUUUGGGGAGGAAUUGCAAGCCGUCAGUGAAGGGGUACAUUAGGAAAAUCUGAUUGGGGCCGGGCGUGGUGGCUCAAGCCUGUAAUCCCAGCACUUUGGGAGGCCGAGGCGGGCGGAUCGCUUGAACCCAGGAGUUCGAGACCAGCCUGAGCGACAUGGUGAAACCUGUCUCUCUAAAAAAUUAGCGGGAAUGGUGGCGCGUCCUUGUAGUUCCUA